UUUUUUUUUUUUUUUUUUUUUUAACAGCACUUCUUAGAUUUAAAAUUGCUCUCCAUCCUCAAGAAGUUUUCAUGGCUCUGGCUCCUCUGGACCCUAAACCAGGUGCUGCAGCCCUUGCAACUUACUUUUUGUUGAUAAUCGAUUUAGCUCCCUUGUGAGAAUCUGUAGCUGCUUACAACUAAUGAAAGGUCAGGAAUUCCUUUGCCCUGUCUAAUGUUCCUUUUGCUUUAAGAUGACCUCAUGUUCCCUUCUCUGGUCAUAAUGGUUUACUCAUUACUCCUGCCAUCCUGCACCUUCCUGCUUCAGAGCUUUUGCUUAGGCUGAUUGCCGUUGCCUGAAAUUCUUCUUCCCUCUGCUCAUUUCUCCCUUUCACUCUCCCUAUUCAAAGCCCCAUGCAAAUCACACUUCCUCUAAUAAGUCUCCCUCAGAACUCCUCUUUCCAUCUUCCAUCUCCUCGUAGUUAUAACUACAGCAAGUGCAUUUGCUGAACUCUAAAAUCAGGACACAUGCUUUGACAACUAUAAGUAUACUUAUAAGAACAAUGUGAUAGAUUAUUUGAAAUCAUGAUGGUUCUAGAAAUUUCAGAGUGCAUGUUUGCCUUAAUUGUAGCAUUCAUUACAUCUGCCUGUGUUGGCGUUAAUUAUGUAUUUGUUUCCUUCCUGAUGCGAGCGAGAAUUGUGUCACACGCAUCCCUGUAUCACCCCACACCUGUCAGAUUCUUUUGUCUGCAGCAGGCAUUCAUUUUUUAAGGCAGUCAUCAACUGUUUAUCAAGCUCCUGUGAGGUGGCAGGCACCCUGGAUGAGACGAGGAACUCCUUGCCAUGAAUAAAAUCAUUAUGAUACCUUGAUAUGAGUGCGUUGUUAGCAUCGACCCGGAACACAUUUAGAGAGCCCCCUAAGUCAGACUUGGAAAGCUAGGGGGCAUCUGGAGGCAAGUGAUUUCUAAGCAGAGAAGUGAAAGUUUUUGCCAGUGAAUGUUGGGGCUUAGGAACUCAAGACAGAGAGAACAGUAUGUGAAAAGGUGCAAGGUAAGAUAGAGUGCCCUGUCCUAGAAAUGCAGUGUUCUAGUUGCAUUUGGAGGGUAGAGUGCAAAGGGGGGACUGAGAGGAUUAGAGGCCAGGUCCUAGGGAUAUAAGCAUGAAUGAGAGAGCCCCGUUCUUCUAGAAUUUAUAUUAAUGAGGAGAAGACCAAGAAAUAAUAAAGGAUAAUAUAGUAGAAUGAGCACUUUGCCUGGAGAGGUGCCAUAUACGCAAGAACACAUAUUAUGGCACUUCACCCUCCCGAAGACCUGCAAAGCUGACAGGAAGAUGUGAGAUUUCAGUUGAAAGCUACAUCACUAAGUGCUGAACGAAUGAAGUUUCUAGCAUUUAGCUAUUUUGCAUUUUCUCCCAUUUUGAAUCAUGGCCUGAGACAAAAGCUGUGAAGGAGUGAGAGCAGGGCAGUAUUUCCUCUCUGCUUCCUUGUCACCAGCUUUCCUCUGUUUCUGUGCACAAUGGCUGAAAUAGAGAGAUUGAUUACAUUAAACAUAAUCUUUUUUUUUCCUUCCAAUCAGAACGCAGUUUUUCAGUCACUUUAUUACUUGGUUUGAAGCUUCUUCCCUUUCUUCUGAUCAAUAUUUUAGCUGAGUCUUAUGUAAAAUGAAAUUUACAUUCACUUGUUUCCUUAGCAACCAUCACACAUAAUCAAAUACAUCUGCUUUCAGAAUCAGUUCCUCUUUUGAAAUACCUUGUAGUUAC
rnacentral:lncRNA from 1 species